rnacentral:tRNA from 1 species
AGCAGUCUGGCAUAGUGGUAAGGAGCAGGGCUUGUAACCGAAAGGUUGCUGGUUCGAUUCCCAGCUAGUGCAC